UUCGACGUGCUCGGCGGGCAGAACGCGCUGUUCGCCCUGGACGAGUACGAGCGCGGCGCGGUCGGUUCGAUGCCGGCCUGCGAGU
rnacentral:tRNA from 1 species